GUGAGGAAUAUUGGUCAAUGGGCGGGAGCCUGAACCAGCCAAGUCGCGUGAAGGAAGAAGGAUCUAUGGUUCGUAAACUUCUUUUGCAGGGGAAUAAAGUGCAGGACGUGUCCUGUUUUGUAUGUACCCUGAGAAUAAGGAUCGGCUAACUCCGUGCCAGCAGCCGCGGUAAUACGGAGGAUCCGAGCGUUAUCCGGAUUUAUUGGGUUUAAAGGGUGCGUAGGUGGUUUGAUAAGUCAGCGGUGAAAGUUUGCAGCUUAACUGUAAAAAUGCCGUUGAAACUGUCGGACUUGAGUGUAAAUGAGGUAGGCCGAAUGCGUGGUGUAGCGGUGAAAUGCAUAGACAUCACGCAGAACUCCGAUUGCGAAGGCAGCUUACUAAGCUACAACUGACACUGAAGCACGAAAGCGUGGGGAUCAAACAGGAUUAGAAACCCGGGUAGUCC
rnacentral:rRNA from 1 species